UUUUGAACAUAACAAAACCUAAACAAACAGGUACUCUAAUUCAUUGAAGAUCAUGAAUCUCAGUAAACUCUAUUAUAACCGUAACAUUUGUAUCAAUAAGCUACAAAUCCCUAACAGAACCUACAAAACACCGAUUUCCACAAUCUAAACAAACCAGACCUCUAAUUCAUCAUAGAUCAUGAAUCUGAAUUAAGAAGAUAAACAUCGAAUUGAAACGCUUACAGCAAUCUACAAUACGAAACCCUAAUUUUGAGCCUAACAAGACCUAAACAAAGUGUUACUCUAAUUCAUUGAACAUCAUGAAUAUAACUAAACAUGCGAGUGUAUUUAU
rnacentral:lncRNA from 1 species